rnacentral:rRNA from 1 species
GACGUAGGGUGCGAGCGUUGUCCGGAUUUAUUGGGCGUAAAGGGCGCGUAGGCGGUUCGAUAAGUCCCGUGUGAAAUCCCUCGGCUCAACUGAGGAACUGCACGGGAAACUGACGGGCUUGAGUUCGGGAGAGGGAAGCGGAAUUCCGGGUGUAGCGGUGAAAUGCGUAGAUAUCUGGAGGAAUACCGGUGGCGAAGGCGGCAUCCUGGACCGACAUUGACGCUGAGGAGCGAAAGCUAGGGGAGCAAACGGG